GAUGAACGCUAGCGAUAGGCCUAACACAUGCAAGUCGAGGGGCAGCAUAGAGUAGCAAUACUUUGAUGGCGACCGGCGCACGGGUGAGUAACACGUAUGCAACCUACCUACAUCAGGGGAAUAACCCGGAGUAAUUCGGACUAAUACCGCAUAAUACAGGGAUGCCGCAUGGCAAUAUUUGUUAAAGAUUUAUCGGAUGUAGAUGGGCAUGCGUUCCAUUAGCUAGUUGGUGAGGUAACGGCUCACCAAGGCAACGAUGGAUAGGGGAACUGAGAGGUUUGUCCCCCACACUGGAACUGAGACACGGACCAGACUCCUACGGGAGGCAGCAGUGAGGAAUAUUGGUCAAUGGACGAGAGUCUGAACCAGCCAAAUCGCGUGAAGGAAAACUGCCCUACGGGUUGUAAACUUCUUUUGUACAGGAAUAAAAGACAUUACGUGUAAUGUAUUGCAUGUACUGUACGAAUAAGCAUCGGCUAACUCCGUGCCAGCCGCCACCGUAA
rnacentral:rRNA from 1 species